GAGGAAGGAACCAGGUCCCAGAAGGUGUAGGUGUAUUCAUUGCAUCAGAUGGAUCUGCAAUGACUAGUACCCAAGCCAAUCAAAGGAGAACAACAUCAGCUAUGGGCUAGUUCCAGUGCAGUCAAGAAAGUCA